GACGAACGCUGGCGGCGUGCUUAACACAUGCAAGUCGAACGGCAAGGCACUGCUUUUGUGGGGUGCUGGAGUGGCGAACGGGUGAGUAACACGUGAGUAACCUGCCCUUGACUUUGGGGUAACUUAAGGAAAGUGGGGCUACUACCGGAUAGCAGAUCAUGCAGCAUGGUGGGGGUUGGAAAGUCUCGGCGGUUGGGGAUGGAUUGGCGGCUUAUCAGCUUGUUGGUGGGGUAGUGGCUUACCAAGGCAUUGACGGGUAGCCGGCAUGAGUGGGUGAACGGCCACAUUGGGACUGAGAUACGGCCCAGACGCCUACGGUAGGCAGCAGGGGGGAAUAUUGCACAAUGGGCGGAAGCCUGAUGCAGCAACGCCGCGUGCGUGAUGACGGCCUUCGGGGUGUAAACCGCUUUCGCCUGUGACGAAGCGGGAGUGACGGUAAUGGGUAAAGAAGCACCGGCUAACUACGUG
rnacentral:rRNA from 1 species